GACGAACGCUGGCGGCGUGCUUAACACAUGCAAGUCGAACGGGAGAGGAUGAGGAAAUGCUUCGGCAUGGAGACAUCCGAUCUAGUGGCGGACGGGUGAGUAACGCGUGAGCAACCUGUCCUGCACAGGGGGAUAACACUGAGAAAUCAGUGCUAAUACCGCAUGAGACCACAGUAUCACAUGGUACAGGGGUCAAAGGAGAAAUCCGGUGCAGGGUGGGCUCGCGUCCCAUUAGCUAGUUGGUAGGGUAAAGGCCUACCAAGGCGACGAUGGGUAGCCGGACUGAGAGGUUGGCCGGCCACACUGGGACUGAGACACGGCCCAGACUCCUACGGGAGGCAGCAGUGGGGAAUAUUGGGCAAUGGGCGAAAGCCUGACCCAGCAACGCCGCGUGAAGGAAGAAGGUCUUUGGAUUGUAAACUUUUGUCCUAUGGGAAGAAGGAAGUGACGGUACCAUGGGAGGAAGCCCCGGCUAACUACGUGCCAGCAGCCGCGGUAAUACGUAGGGGGCGAGCGUUGUCCGGAAUUACUGGGCGUAAAGGGCGCGCAGGCGGCCGAUCAAGUUAGAUGUGAAAUACCCGGGCUUAACCUGGGAACUGCAUUUAAAACUGGUUGGCUAGGAGUGCAGGAGAGGGAAGCGGAAUUCCUAGUGUAGCGGUGAAAUGCGUAGAUAUUAGGAGGAACACCAGUGGCGAAGGCGGCUUUCUGGACUGUAACUGACGCUGAGGCGCGAAAGCGUGGGGAGCGAACAGGAUUAGAUACCCUGGUAGUCCACGCUGUAAACGAUGAA
rnacentral:rRNA from 1 species